AUUACCAUGGUAACGGUGUCAACUCACUCAGCUGACAAGAAGGGAGAGGCUGUCUCUCUGCUGUUUUCACUGCUUUCAGGAGUGGUUUAGUGUCUUCAAAAAGACCGUUAGCAUCAGGCUAACAAAUAGAGGAGCGUCAGAAAAAAAGACCUAAAACGGGAAGUUACAAGAAAAUUUGUAAUGGGAGCUGCUGACAGAGAUGCAGGAAACAGAGCUGGAGCGGAGCGGAUCUCCUGUCGAAGAACAUCUCCAUCAUUGUAACGACUAGGGCAAAGCAGCUGUUCUCCGCUAGUAGACGGUUACAAUAGAACGCCAUGAAGUAGCAGCUUAAAUCGCGAACGCGCAAUAUGACGUUGGAAUGCCGUUGCCGUUCCAGCAGUGGAGGCUGCUUAAAGUCCCUAUUGUAUUGACGUCGACGCCACGGAUGACGUCGACGCUGCGGUAAAUAGGAAAUGGGGUUGAAACAAUAGACCUACAUGGUAUUAAUACUUAAUUAUAUAAAACAAAACUGUGAACCCGUUAAUUACUUAUACCUGGUAAAAUAUAUAGUA